rnacentral:rRNA from 1 species
CUACGGGGCGCAGCAGUGAGGAAUAUUGCACAAUGGGGGGAACCCUGAUGCAGCAACGCCGCGUGGAGGAUGACGCAUUUCGGUGUGUAAACUCCUUUUAUAUGUCAAGAAAAUGACGGUAGCAUAUGAAUAAGCACCGGCUAACUCCGUGCCAGCAGCCGCGGUAAUACGGAGGGUGCAAGCGUUACUCGGAAUCACUGGGCGUAAAGGACGCGUAGGCGGGUUGGAAAGUCAGGUGUGAAAUCCUACAGCUUAACUGUAGAACUGCACUUGAAACUUCUAAUCUAGAGUAUGGGAGGGGGAGAUGGAAUUAGUGGUGGAGGGGUAAAAUUCGUAGAUAUCACUAGGAAUACCUAAAGCGAAGGCGAUCUCCUGGAACAUUACUGACGCUAAGUCGUUAAAGCGUGGGGAGCAAACAGGAUUAGAUACCCGGGUAGUC